rnacentral:rRNA from 1 species
CUACGUAGGGGGCGAGCGUUGUCCGGAAUGAUUGGGCGUAAAGGGCGCGUAGGCGGCGCGGUAAGUCUGGAGUGAAAGUCCUGCUUUCAAGGUGGGAAUUGCUUUGGAUACUGCCGCGCUUGAGUGCAGGAGAGGUUAUCGGAAUUCCCGGUGUAGCGGUGAAAUGCGUAGAGAUCGGGAGGAACACCAGUGGUGAAGGCGGGUAACUGGACUGCAACUGACGCUGAGGCGCGAAAGUGUGGGGAGCAACCAGGAUUAGAUACCCUGGUAGUCCACACUGUAAACGAUGAAUGCUAGGUGUAAGAGGUAUCGACCCCUUUUGUGCCGGAGUCAACACAAUAAGCAUUCCGCCUGGGGAGUACGGCCGCAAGGUUGAAACUCAAAUGAAUUGGCGGGG